ensembl:snRNA RNU7-140P RNA, U7 small nuclear 140 pseudogene
AAACAUUACAGCUCUUUUAGAAUUUGUCUCAGGUUUUCUGGUUCUCACUGGAAAACCCCC